GACGAACGCUGGCGGCGUGCUUAACACAUGCAAGUCGAACGGUGAAGCGAGUGCUUGCACUCGUGGAUCAGUGGCGAACGGGUGAGUAACACGUGAGUAACCUGCCCAUCACUCUGGGAUAAGCACUGGAAACGGUGUCUAAUACUGGAUACGACCAACCCUUGCAUGGGGUGUUGGUGGAAAGAUUUAUCGGUGAUGGAUGGACUCGCGGCCUAUCAGCUUGUUGGCGGGGUAAUGGCCCACCAAGGCGACGACGGGUAGCCGGCCUGAGAGGGUGACCGGCCACACUGGGACUGAGACACGGCCCAGACUCCUACGGGAGGCAGCAGUGGGGAAUAUUGCACAAUGGGCGAAAGCCUGAUGCAGCGACGCCGCGUGAGGGAUGACGGCCUUGGGGUUGUAAACCUCUUUCAGCAGGGAAGAAGCGAAAGUGACGGUACCUGCAGAAGAAGCACCGGCUAACUACGUG
rnacentral:rRNA from 1 species